GUGGUUGUUGGACCCCAGCAGUUGCGCUGACAGUUGCUUCUUACCUGGUAGCAUGAUAAGUAAGAUCUGCUGAAAUUCCUUCUACACAACCAUUAAAGGAUUUUUGCAACAAGAAGGCUGCUAAACUAUAUGCAAGUGUUUCUGCUCUAAACCAUGAAAUCUGGAAGAAUUCUGCACUAAUCAGCAAAAAACAAGUUCAAAUACUGUGAACGCAGCAUUUCCAACAAGUGGGAUGGAACCACAUGAGAUUUCUUGGCAUGCCUUGGUGAUACAUGGAAUAGCACGGUGAGAGAACUCUUCAGUUCUGUUAUAGUCUUAAUGCAGUAA